ACUUUUAAAGGGAAGAAGUACCCCAUUGGUUUUAGGCACCAACAUCCUUGGUGCAAAUCCAAGUAAAAGAA
rnacentral:tRNA from 1 species